AGACAGGUGCCACUGUGCCCAGCUCUGCUUUUGUUCUUGUAACCAGCAAACACAAGGGUUUAUGUGCUUUCUUCAGGCAGAGGAAGAGAAGGAGAAAUUGCACAGACUUACAUGUUUCAUCAUAAACCAAGGAGCAGGAAAACUUCAGGGAAAAGAAAGGUCAAGAGCAGAAGAAGAGAAUGAGAACUGAAGCCCUGAGUCCCACAAGGGAGCAGUAAAGAAGCCAUCUGGGGCCUAGAAAGGCUGUGAAUUCCUCUGCAGCACUGGUAGCUUCCCUUGGAUUUUCAUAGCAGUAUCAGCAUCUUUCUCUCUUUGUGAACAUUGUGUGAGAAAAAUUUAUUUUCAUUGCACAAACAGACAAAGAAAGAGCCUAGCAAGGCAAAUGAUGAUUUGCUCUGGUUCUCCUCUCUGGAGGGCUGCAGAAUUUGGAAUGAACCUGAGAAAUGCAAAUAUUAAUUUACCUACCCUUCUGGCCUACCACGCUGGACCGCACUGAUGAUCACUAGUGCUUCCAGCUCUCCUCUCUUUCCUGAGGAUGAUGAACACAGAGUAUUAUGUUUCACAGCUCACAGUGGUAGACAGGUUCCCUUCUUCUGACACAGCGAAAGUGAAGCCUCGGGCUGGAAUGGAGCAGCCCCCAGAUCAGUAGAGCCCAGACCACUGAAUCACUGCAGGGAGGAGCACUUCCCAGAGAGGUCCCUUACCCAUGGCAGACCUCAGGUGGGUGAGGUGCUAACUUUUCUCACACCGAGUGGCUGAGAUUUCGGUGGUGUUACUACAGCAUAACUGGCCUACUUUGAUGGCUACACAGACUCAAGCUAAGAGACUUUCUUAAAUUAACGUGUGCAUCAAAGCCAGAUGAGGUGCUUCACAUUCAUUCUCAAAGCUCUUGCUCAUAUAGACAUGGAGUAGAGGCCAGGAAUUCACAGUUUAGUUGCGUAUUCAGUCAGUGACAGAGAGGUUGGUACAAUGUGUCUAUGAACCUCCUGUUUCCUGAGGCUCACACAUGCAGAGACUCUGGAAGAUGGCUGAGGAGGUUCUUGCAGAUUGCUUGCUGCUGAGUCAAGGGGCACAGUCUUUCACUUUGAAGGCCUUACCUCAGUCACGCUCUUAAUUUCCUAAGGACCAGCAGCAUGGAAGACCAGGAAGACAGGAAGUGUGUUUGCCUGCCAAAGGAUGUUCCCAUUCUGCAAGAUCAUGGGAGUGAUUCCUGCUGCAAAUUUUUCUGAGGACUCUGAGAGAUAAUUCCAGAAAUACAAAAGUCAUUUAGCCCUGCAAACAUCAUGUGGACACUUACCUGUCCUUGUGACACCAUAAGAGGCAGGACUUUGAAGAGGCCAUUGAACACGUGAGCAGACCACAGUCUUUUCUCCUACAGAGGCUGAAGCUAAAGUUGCUGGACAAUGCCAAGAACAAUGGAAGGAAGGAUGACAAGAAAUGAAGGGAUAACAUAAAACAGAGAAAACAACAGAGAACUGUAUCUGAUACCAAGAAAUCUCUGAAACAUCAAAGAGUGGCUGGGAACAUCCACAGAAGAGUCUGGGAAAGUGAAGUUCCUCCUCUUCCUCUCCACAAAAGGAAGGAAACUGGAAACACGGGGACAGUUUUACACCUGACUUUAAUUGUCAGCCUAAGCCUUAAAUCAAUUUUCGAAGGAGAUAGGAUAUAAAUUGCAAAUAAAUAAAUAAUCAA